ACAGGUGCUGCAUGGUUGUCGUCAGCUCGUGUCGUGAGAUGUUGGGUUAAGUCCCGCAACGAGCGCAACCCUUGUCCUUAUUUGCCAGCAAGUAAUGCUGGGAACUUUAAGGAGACUGCCCGGGAUAACCGGGAGGAAGGCGGGGAUGACGUCAAAUCAUCAUGCCCCUUAUGGCCGGGGCUACACACGUGCUACAAUGGUCGAAACAAAGGGAUGCAACCCCGCGAGGGUGAGCUAACCCCAAAAAUACCACCUCAGUUCGGAUUGUAGUCUGCAACCCGACUACAUGAAGCCGGAAUCGCUAGUAAUCGCGAAUCAAAAUGUCGCGGUGAAUACGUUCCCGGGUCUUGUACACACCGAA
rnacentral:rRNA from 1 species